AUAAAAUUGCACAGAAUCAUGGCAUUCGGCUUACGUCAUUCCUGUUUGAACGUGGAGCAAACGGCACAAACUGCGCACCAUUAAUGGGCCAGACAGACUGUCUCAGAGCCCCGGCACAAACUACAGCGUCAGGAGCUGUUUUUAGCUACCUGCUCUCACUGGGGUUCUGAGCGCUAACAAUGCAAGGGAGGAGAGUGAGAGGGACCAGCAGAAGGAGUGAGGAUCUGCCUGUUUUCUUCAUAAGGAUCACAAGUGUCUUUGAAUUGGAAGUGAGAGUGAAUUCAAAGAAUGGGCCAACUGCGAUUAAUCAAUUUCCUGUGUUAAUUGGAGCUAUUAAGGCUUUGUCAUGAUUGCUUUCAAGCCUGAGAACAACGCCCCUUGAGAAAUUUGAAGCGAGGGACUCUGGGCACCCUUCCAAGAGACAGUAUUUCUCUUUCAGAGCCUUUAUCAAUGAAGUCUUUCUUGAUUACUGUAUAUCAUAGAAAUUCCUGGCAAGGCCUGAUUGAAACAAAUGGAAUCGGAUGUAGCCUCAUCUGAAAAAGUUUAAGUCUCCACACUCAUUUAAUUAUAUUUCAACUGUAACAACUAAAAAAGAAUAACAUUUUUUAAUGAAAUACAACCAUUUGCACCUGUCUUGUGACUUCUGUGUAGGUUGUAUUCAUAUAAUAUCCAACAAUUCACGGAGAGUUGUGCGUCGAAGUAUGGUAAAAUUGUUUCACUAAUGUGCAAAUGACAGCACUGUUUGUUCAAGCAGACACAAUAGUAUUCAUAUUAAUAUUAUAGAAAUAUGGAGAAUAAAUAAUUGAAUGCAGAGUUUGAUGUACUGACGCGAAAUAAAAAAAGACUGUUUAAUGUCACAUAA